rnacentral:rRNA from 1 species
GCGUGAGGAACCUGCCUCAAAGAGGGGGACAACAGUUGGAAACGACUGCUAAUACCGCAUAAGCCCACGGGUCGGCAUCGAUCUGAGGGAAAAGGAGCAAUCCGCUUUGAGAUGGCCUCGCGUCCGAUUAGCUAGUUGGUGAGGUAACGGCCCACCAAGGCGACGAUCGGUAGCCGGACUGAGAGGUUGAACGGCCACAUUGGGACUGAGACACGGCCCAGACUCCUACGGGAGGCAGCAGUGGGGAAUAUUGCACAAUGGGGGAAACCCUGAUGCAGCGACGCCGCGUGGAGGAAGAAGGUCUUCGGAUUGUAAACUCCUGUUGUUGAGGAAGAUAAUGACGGUACUCAACAAGGAAGUGACGGCUAACUACGUGCCAGCAGCCGCGGUAAAACGUAGGUCACAAGCGUUGUCCGGAAUUACUGGGUGUAAAGGGAGCGCAGGCGGGAAGACAAGUUGGAAGUGAAAUCUAUGGGCUCAACCCAUAAACUGCUUUC